GUGUAUAAAUUGCAAGUGGAGGAUGUUACGGACAUCAACUGGGAUGAUCUCACAGCUGUUUUCGGACAUUGUUGACUUCCUUUAUAAGAGCAUCUUGCCAGGCCUGGGGAAAGAUUGUGAAGACCUUGAUGACAUUGAGCUGAAGGUUGACCAGAAGCAGAGCUUAAAUCAAUUUGACAUUUUUCAGGGACAUUAAUGAGGAUCAUUGCAGCAACAGUGAUGGAGAGAGUAUGUACAGAUCUAUCACAUUAGUGAUUGUAAGUAAUAUUCCAAAAGUAAAGAGAAAAAUACAUUUUCUAGAUUUACAUGUAAAAGAUGUAUGAUAAUUUCCUUUUUUGUUAAUCCAUUUAUUUUGAUGAAGGACUGAAUAAACAGAAUUUGUAUUAUUAGGUCUUCUAAA